UGACCUCAUACAGGUCACGUCCCCUUUUCUGGGCCUACUGAGUAAAUGAGGAAUUGAGGUGCUGGCCCUUCCUCCUGCUUGCAUGGGGUGGGAAUACUGGAGUCAAGGCAGCCACGCUUCAGCCAUGACAUCCCUGAGGAAGUGAACCAACAACUACCGGCAACCACCAUCUUCCAGACUUCUUGUCGCAUGAGAAAAAAUCGGCCACAAUUUUGCCAAUGCCACUGGAGUCAGGUUUCCUGUUACUUACAAAUGACUAAAAUCCUUGGUUUGAGGAUACAAAGAUGAGCAAAACAAUUCCUGGUCUCAGGGAACUCCUAGAGGGGAGACGCUGUAAAUCAAUGAAGGCAGCCCUGGGGAACAAGGGCUACCCAAGGGCUAUGUCGAGGGCCCACUGGUGGCAGGUAAGAGAAGUGAAUGAUGAUUUCUGGGUGAGACGAUGGCAGGAGGAAGGCUUCACAUAAGAGGAACUCGUUGUGUUGGGUGUUUAAAGAGAAAUAAGAUUAAGGUGUUCCUGCCAUGGACGGCAGUGCCAGUGCAGACCUGGACCACCAGCACUGAGUCCCGGUUCUGCUGCUCACACUGGUCUCACUAGACUGUGAACCGCACACAGGCGCUCCAAGUUUAUCUUCUUCUUGAUUCUGUUCCCAGUGCCUGGCAUUUAAGAGAGGCUCAAAAUAUACUUGCUGAAUUGAAACCUC